AUACGUAGGUGGCAAGCGUUGUCCGGAAUUAUUGGGCGUAAAGGGCGCGCAGGCGGUCGCAUAAGUCUGAUGUGAAAUUCCGCGGCUUAACCGCGGAUGGUCAUUGGAAACUGUGUGACUUGAGUACAGAAGAGGAGAGUGGAAUUCCACGUGUAGCGGUGAAAUGCGUAGAGAUGUGGAGGAACACCAGUGGCGAAGGCGGCUCUCUGGUCUGUCACUGACGCUGAGGCGCGAAAGCGUGGGUAGCAAACAGGAUUAGAUACCCUGGUAGUCCACGCCGUAAACGAUGAGUGCUAGGUGUUGGGGGGCACGCCCCUCAGUGCUGCAGUAAACACAUUAAGCACUCCGCCUGGGGAGUACGACCGCAAGGUUGAA
rnacentral:rRNA from 1 species